rnacentral:rRNA from 1 species
UACGGGGGGGGCAAGCGUUGUUCGGAAUUACUGGGCGUAAAGGGCGAGUAGGUGGCCAUCUAAGUCAGACGUGAAAUCCCCCGGCUUAACCUGGGAACUGCGUCUGAUACUGGACGGCUUGAGUAUGGGAGAGGAACGUAGAAUUCCAGGUGUAGCGGUGAAAUGCGCAGAUAUCAGGAGGAACACCGGUGGCGAAGGCGGGUCUCUGGGCCGAUACUGACGCUGAGGAGCGAAAGCGUGGGGAGCGAACAGG